rnacentral:other from 1 species
AAUUGCCUGGGAUGUUUGACACUUCUCGUAAUUGAGCCACCAUGACAUAAUAGGGAGCUCGGGUUAGUGUGGGAUGUGGCCAAGCCGUUUCGGACGGACGGCCUAAGACCGCCGCAGGGCACCCACCUGGCAAAAUGCUGGGCGUCAAUCGAGGAGAUCGACAUUCCGGGUCUGUU